rnacentral:rRNA from 1 species
GUUGACUCAAUCAGGUAGGAAUAC